UUACGGAGUGCUGUAUUUGUGAUACUUAAUGCAACAGUGCUGUACUUUACAUAUCUGUAUAAUACUUAUAAUAUCAUUGUUGUUCUAAGUUGAUUAAACCUAUUUAAUUGCAAGCAAAAGUUUAACAGAUCUAAAAAAUAAUUUGAAUUCAUAUUCAGUUAAAAUACAUUUAAUUUUAAUCAGACUAAACUAUAAAAUAAUUGAAUUUCAGUUAGGUGAAUGAGUCAAGUUCUGUAAACUUACAGUCUAACUACAACAAUGAAUUAGAAAAACUUCCAACUUGAACAAAUUUAAUCAUGCGCAUGCGCCACAAUACUACGUCAUGACGGCGCAUUACUUCACCAGAGUUUGAAAAAUGCACCUUCAGCCAUCUUUCUGUGAUCGCGAUGCGCGAGGCAACUUUGCUGAUCAAAGAAGAAAACAAAGGAGCGCACGUUUGGAUGACUACAGAUGAGACGUUAUGUAUUACAAAUAAGAUCAGUACAGAUUUGUUAUUGGAGAUACAGUGCAAGCUGUGUGGAAUCAAAGACCUGUAUGUAUUGAUGAGGCCAGUGUCAGUGAAGAUGGUGUGGUCACUGGAAUCCUGGUGUUUGUGGGAAAUGUGAAGGAGCUUCUCCCAGGAUUCUACAACAGUGUUGUCCUGAUGACUGAGGUAUUUAUUUUUUUUACUUUCUUGCCUCUUUGGAACAUGUUCAUUUAUGCAUACUGUGUAGAGGUGGUUCGCAGCUUCAUGGACA